rnacentral:rRNA from 1 species
UACGGAGGGGGCUAGCGUUGUUCGGAAUCACUGGGCGUAAAGGGUGCGUAGGCGGGUCUUUAAGUCAGGGGUGAAAUCCUGGAGCUCAACUCCAGAACUGCCUUUGAUACUGAAGAUCUUGAGUUCGGGAGAGGUGAGUGGAACUGCGAGUGUAGAGGUGAAAUUCGUAGAUAUUAGCUAGAACACCAGUGGCGAAGGCGGCCAACUGGUCCGGCACUGACGCUGAGGUGCGAAAGCGUGGGGAGCAAACAGG